rnacentral:lncRNA from 1 species
CUCGAGUUAGCAACGGGACAACAACCGAUGACGCCACAAACUUUGGCCAUUGGUUACAAAGGACCCAAUCCGUCAGCAUACAAGUUUGCCAAAGGAUGGCACGAAAAGGCAGACUUGGCAAAAGCCUACUUAGCAAAAGCAGCGCAAAAAAUGAAGAAAUGGGCCGAUGCUAAGAGGCGUCACUUGGAGUUCGAGGAAGGA